UGCCAGCCGCCGCGGUAAUACGGGGGAUGCAAGCGUUAUCCGGAAUUACUGGGCGUAAAGCGCACGUAGGCGGUUUAUUAAGUCAGAUGUGAAAGCCCCGGGCUCAACCUGGGAACUGCACCUGAUACUGGUAGACUAGAAUUUGGGAGAGGUGAGUGGAAUUUCCGGUGUAGCGGUGAAAUGCAUAGAGAUCGGAAGGAACACCAGUGGCGAAGGCGACUCACUGGACCAAAAUUGACGCUGAGGUGCGAAAGCGUGGGUAGCAAACAGGAUUAGAUA
rnacentral:rRNA from 1 species